rnacentral:rRNA from 1 species
AGUGAACGCUGGCGGCAGGCCUAACACAUGCAAGUCGAGCGGCAGCGCGUCCGACCACCCUCGGGUGGUCGGAUGGCGGCGAGCGGCGGACGGGUGAGGAAUGCAUCGGAAUCUGCCUCGUUGUGGGGGAUAACGUAGGGAAACUUACGCUAAUACCGCAUACGACCUACGGGUGAAAGUGGGGGACCUUCGGGCCUCACGCGAUGAGAUGAGCCGAUGCCGGAUUAGCUAGUUGGCGGGGUAAAGGCCCACCAAGGCGACGAUCCGUAGCUGGUCUGAGAGGAUGAUCAGCCACACUGGAACUGAGACACGGUCCAGACUCCUACGGGAGGCAGCAGUGGGGAAUAUUGGACAAUGGGCGCAAGCCUGAUCCAGCCAUGCCGCGUGAGUGAAGAAGGCCUCGGUUGUAAGA